GGAUUUGUCUUGGUCAUAUAUCUUGAAAUAACAAUCUAAUGUCUUGUUGUCAUCCAGAUCAUUUGACUCAGGUUGAGCAGCUGUGGUUUUGUGAACAUUUAUGGAGCAGAUAGCCAGCAACAUGUGAUAGUGUGAUACUAUCACUCUUCAAACAGUUAACUGCUGAACACCACACGUUUACUUUUCUUUUAGUGUUAGAUUUCUUUUCAGAUGAAACUAAGUUCUCUACAUCUGCCAUUACCGAGCAGAAUAAAGGCAGGCCUAGGGCAUUGCCCACUUGCAAGUUUUUUGGUGGGGGUGUCGCAGCCUCUUUUACAGUAGCAUAGCCAGCCUGAAAAUGUACUCCUGCUAUGUAAAUUUCAAAGCAUUAUCAUUAUUCAUUUCUUUAGAAAUUCAUUGUUUUUACAGUCUAUGAACACAUAAAUAUUUGCAUAGCAGAAGCAAAUAGUCAGGCUGGUUAUCUGCUCUUUUAACAUAUAGAUUGGGGGACAUGUCUCAAUGUCUACAUGGCUUGACUCGGUUGUCUCAGAAUCCUAGUACUGAUCUGCCACCCUAUAAUGUAUACUAUUAGUUAUAUAUAUAUAUAUAUAU